rnacentral:tRNA from 1 species
AGGGCUAUAGCUCAGUUCGGUAGAGCAACUCGUUUACAUGAAACAGUUCGAAUCAUUUCGAUAAUAAUUCGUUUGAUCUGUUUUA